rnacentral:rRNA from 1 species
AGAACGAACGCUGGCGGCAUGCCUAAUACAUGCAAGUCGAACGAACUCUUCGGAGUUAGUGGCGCACGGGUGCGUAACGCGUGGGAGUCUGCCCUUGGGUUCGGAAUAACGGUUGGAAACGACUGCUAAUACCGGAUGAUGACGAAAGUCCAAAGAUUUAUCGCCCAGGGAUGAGCCCGCGUAGGAUUAGCUAGUUGGUGAGGUAAAGGCUCACCAAGGCGACGAUCCUUAGCUGGUCUGAGAGGAUGAUCAGCCACGCUGGGACUGAGACACGGCCCAGACUCCUACGGGAGGCAGCAGUAGGGAAUAUUGGACAAUGGGCGAAAGCCUGAUCCAGCAAUGCCGCGUGAGUGAUGAAGGCCUUAGGUUGUAAAGCUCUUUUACCCGAGAUGAUAAUGACAGUAUCGGAAGAAUAAGCCCCGGACUAACUCCGUGACCGAGCAGCCCG